rnacentral:rRNA from 1 species
GACGAACGCUGGCGGGGGGAGGAACACAGGCAAGUCGAACGGAAAGGCCCUGCUUUUGUGGGGUGCUCGAGUGGCGAACGGGUGAGUAACACGUGAGUAACCUGCCCUUGACUUUGGGAUAACUUCAGGAAACUGGGGCUAAUACCGGAUAGGAGCUCCUGCUGCAUGGUGGGGGUUGGAAAGUUUCGGCGGUUGGGGAUGGACUCGCGGCUUAUCAGCUUGUUGGUGGGGUAGUGGCUUACCAAGGCUUUGACGGGUAGCCGGCCUGAGAGGGUGACCGGCCACAUUGGGACUGAGAUACGGCCCAGACUCCUACGGGAGGCAGCAGUGGGGAAUAUUGCACAAUGGGCGGGAGCCUGAUGCAGCAACGCCGCGUGCGGGAUGACGGCCUUCGGGUUGUAAACCGCUUUCGCCUGUGACGAAGCGUGAGUGACGGUAAUGGGUAAAGAAGCACCGGCUAACUACGUG